GUCUUCCCCCAGCUCUUGUAAGGGACCGUGCAAGUGAGGCCCUGAGCUGAAGUUUAUUAGUUUAUUAGCUAACAGGUAGAUCUUUCUCUGAGGACUCACAGAUCUAUCUGGUGGUCUGACUGCAGCUGAGGACCCCAAUCUGGAGUAAUAGUAAAUAGCUGUAGAAGCCAAGGAUCAGAGGCGAGGCAAUGCCAUUGUAGUGGAAGGGAUACAUUCGAAUGGUAAUUAGCAGGUGGAACCAAGAUGAUUACAGUUUGGAAGAGGACAGAGUUAAAAAUGUGGCACCAUCUAGUCUGGCACUUGCCCCUCUUAAUUUAUCCAAAACAUUGAACAACACUUAAUAACUUGUGCCAGGCAUAGUGCUUGCUGCCAAGCAGAGGGGAGGGUGUGUGACCUGGGCUGUGAACUCAUACUGGCCGGCUCGCUGUAGCGUCCCCUGCCAGCCUCAGCUCCAGAGGAUGUCUGUUUCUCCUCUACUCAGUCAGCAAGGGAUCUUUCUCUUUGUUCUUACGAAUGAGGCCACCCAUUAAGAUGUGUCUAGAUACUUUGGCUCCCAGGUCACACCCAACUAUUGCCUCUUUUUGAUCCAAUAUAUACUUUUUCCGUAAACUGGUCAAAACCCAUACUUACACAGAGAUGGAAAGAGGAGUAUAAUUUCAAAUUGCAAGGGGAAGCUGGAUAUAACUCAGUUUUUAAAUCUCGAAUGUAUAUAUUUUUGGCCUGAUUUCCCACUCUGAACCCCCA
rnacentral:lncRNA from 1 species